rnacentral:lncRNA from 13 species
AUAAUAUCUGCCACUUUAAGCUUAACAAUGCUGUGAUUAUCUUUGAUCAAAUUAUUGAAUUUAACUGUGCAUUCUGCCACAUAUAAAAUGUGUUGCUCUCUACAUUCUUUCAGAAAAUGAAAUUGCAGGGAAAUUUAUUAUGACUCAUAAUGUUGGAGAAAACAAUGAAAACAAAAAACAAAAAAGUUUGUUCAAGAGGAGAUUAGGAAGCAGAGGCACAGCAGAAAGACCACAUGAAGACAAGGGAAAAAUGUGUCUAAUUGCGAGCCAUACAGAGACAGCAGGAUGA